GCAAACUUGGUCAUUUAGAGGAAGUAAAAGUCGUAACAAGGUUUCCGUAGGUGAACCUGCGGAAGGAUCAUUAAAAGGUCUUGUCGAGUCCCUCUCAUGGGCGCUCGGCAUUCCUGAUCAUCCCUCUUGUGCACUUUUGAUGAAAUGCUUUGGUAGAUGAAAAUCUACCAAAAGUUUAUUCAUAGACUUUUUCUUGACGUCUGAAUAAAAGUAAAUUAAAAUUUUUUAAAAUACAACUUUCAACAACGGAUCUCUUGGCUCUCGCAUCGAUGAAGAACGCAGC
rnacentral:misc_RNA from 1 species